rnacentral:pre_miRNA from 1 species
AAUAGGAAAAUGACAAAUCAGAUUUUCUUCCUGAUUUUCAGCUUUUUCCUCCUGAAAAAAAAUUAAAUCCAACUAAAAAUGCUAAAAAUAAAGAGAAAAAUUUAAUUUAUCAUUCUUCUAUU